rnacentral:rRNA from 1 species
UACGUAGGUCCCGAGCGUUGUCCGGAUUUAUUGGGCGUAAAGCGCGCGUAGGCGGUGCGGUAAGUCAGGGGUUAAAGGCUGCAGCUCAACUGCAGUAAGGCCUUUGAUACUAUCGCGCUAGAGUACCAGAGAGGAUGGCGGAAUUCCCGGUGUAGCGGUGAAAUGCGUAGAUAUCGGGAGGAAUACCAGUGGCGAAGGCGCCCUUCUGGACGGUUACUGACGCUGAGACGCGAAAGCGUGGGGAGCAAACAGG